AUACGGAGGAUCCGAGCGUUAUCCGGAUUUAUUGGGUUUAAAGGGAGCGUAGGUGGAUUGUUAAGUCAGUUGUGAAAGUUUGCGGCUCAACCGUAAAAUUGCAGUUGAAACUGGCAGUCUUGAGUACAGUAGAGGUGGGCGGAAUUCGUGGUGUAGCGGUGAAAUGCUUAGAUAUCACGAAGAACUCCGAUUGCGAAGGCUGCUCACUAGACUGUUACUGACACUGAUGCUCGAAAGUGUGGGUAUCAAACAGGAUUAGAUACCCUGGUAGUCCACACAGUAAACGAUGAAUACUCGCUGUUUGCGAUAUACAGUAAGCGGCCAAGCGAAAGCAUUAAGUAUUCCACCUGGGGAGUACGCCGGCAACGGUGAAACUCAAAUGAAUUGACGGGG
rnacentral:rRNA from 1 species